CGCCCUGCACCGGGCGGGCCGGCGCCUCAUAACCGCUUGGUUGGGGGUUCGAGUCCCUCCGGGCCCACCA
rnacentral:tRNA from 1 species